GGGCGGGGCCGGGGCGGGCCGGGCGCCCUAGCUACAUAGCAUCCCAGCCAAUUUACACGCGGGCCCACCCUCAGUGCUGGGUGGGGCGCUGCGGGUUGAAGCGUGGCUGUCUGCUAAGGUCAAGAAGCUGUGUGGAUCCGGGGGCAUUUGACGGGGAGGGGAUCGCAUUUUGUUUUUCCAGUUACAAGUGAACUUUUUCAUGGGGGUUUGCAUGACUUGGAAUACAAGAGUCAACCAGAAGCAUAUCCAGUAUCAGUUCACUCGUCCUGUUACCAUUACGACAUGGAAUAAAGCGCCCACACAGCCCAGUGAACGAGUAGGUUGUCCUAUAUUUGUAUCAGCUCCCAAGAGUGUCUCAAGCUGGAAACUGAGCUUCCAUUGCAUGGACUUUUGAGGACCAUACAACAUGAAAAGGGUUCCCCUUUUCCCACCUUCUGAGGAUAGGAUUACACAUUUGUGUAAGUUCUGAGGAUCCAAACACCAGUUGUCAAGCUUCUGUGGUAAGUGAUUAAACCACUGAACAGUCUCAGGUAA